GAUGAAGAACGGAGCGAAAUGCGAUAAGUAAUGUGAAUUGCAGAAUUCAGUGAAUCAUCGAAUCUUUGAACGCACAUUGCGCCCUUUGGCAUUCCGAAGGGCACACCUGUCCGAGCGCCGUCGCACAACUGAGGCGCAGCCUUGCGUUGGCGGGCGACUUGUGAGUAGCGAGUCGCCGCCCAAACGAGACGGCGCCGCGCCGCGGCCGACGAAGCACGAAAGCGGAAGUCGACGCGGAGGCGGUUGCCUGUAGGAAGACACAGCUUGGCCUCGGAUCAGGUGGGGAUACCCGCUGAACUUAAGCAUAUCAAUAAGCGGAGGA
rnacentral:misc_RNA from 1 species